rnacentral:rRNA from 1 species
CAGCAGCCGCGGUAAUACGUAGGGUCCGAGCGUUGUCCGGAAUUAUUGGGCGUAAAGGGCUCGUAGGCGGUUUGUCGCGUCGGGAGUGAAAACCAGGUGCUUAACACCUGGCCUGCUUUCGAUACGGGCAGACUAGAGGCAUUCAGGGGAGAACGGAAUUCCUGGUGUAGCGGUGAAAUGCGCAGAUAUCAGGAGGAACACCGGUGGCGAAGGCGGUUCUCUGGGAAUGUCCUGACGCUGAGGAGCGAAAGUGUGGGGAGCGAACAGGAUUAGAUACCCGGGUAGUCCCUGUCUCUUAUAC